rnacentral:rRNA from 1 species
GACAGAGGGUGCAAACGUUGCUCGGAAUCACUGGGCGUAAAGGGCGUGUAGGCGGGACGGCAAGUCAGAUGUGAAAUCCCUGGGCUCAACCCAGGAACUGCAUUUGAAACUCCCUUUCUUGAGUACCGGAGAGGAAAGUGGAAUUCCUGGUGUAGAGGUGAAAUUCGUAGAUAUCAGGAGGAACACCGGUGGCGAAGGCGGCUUUCUGGACGGUAACUGACGCUGAGACGCGAAAGCGUGGGGAGCAAACAGG